rnacentral:rRNA from 1 species
UACGUAGGGGGCAAGCGUUGUUCGGAAUUACUGGGCGUAAAGGGCGUGUAGGCGGUGCGGUAUGUUGGACGUGAAAUCCCCGGGCUCAACUCGGGGCGGUCGUUCAAAACUGCCGUGCUAGAGUGUGGGAGAGGGAAGUGGAAUUCCCGGUGUAGCGGUGAAAUGCGUAGAUAUCGGGAAGAACACCUGUGGCGAAGGCGGCUUCCUGGCCUGUUCUUGACGCUGAGGCGCGAAAGCUAGGGGAGCAAACGGG